rnacentral:rRNA from 1 species
AUUGAACGCUGGCGGCAUGCUUUACACAUGCAAGUCGAACGGCAGCGCGGGCUUCGGCCUGGCGGCGAGUGGCGAACGGGUGAGUAAUGCAUCGGAACGUGCCCAGUAGUGGGGGAUAGCCCGGCGAAAGCCGGAUUAAUACCGCAUACGACCUGAGGGUGAAAGCGGGGGACCGAAAGGCCUCGCGCUAUUGGAGCGGCCGAUGUCGGAUUAGCUAGUUGGUGGGGUAAAGGCUUACCAAGGCGACGAUCCGUAGCUGGUCUGAGAGGACGACCAGCCACACUGGGACUGAGACACGGCCCAGACUCCUACGGGAGGCAGCAGUGGGGAAUUUUGGACAAUGGGGGCAACCCUGAUCCAGCCAUGCCGCGUGCGGGAAGAAGGCCUUCGGGUUGUAAAACGCUUUUGUUCGGGAAGAAAUCCUAUGGGCUAAUAACCCGGGGGGAUGACGGUACCGGAAGAAUAAGCACCGGCUAACUACGUG